AAAUACGUCACGGCGGGAGCGCUUCCCAGAUCACCGAGCUCGAGACCGGAGCCAGUUCCGUUAAAACCGUUGGGAAUCAGCCCCGGCGCGCGGCCAUUAAAGUUUGAGAAGGAUAAGGGCAGCUCGGAGGUGUCAGUGUUGCAGUUGAACAGGGGAAACUAUGGAGCCAUGAGGGAGGAGCUGGCCAAAGUUAACUGGACGGAUAGCCUAGCAGAAAAGACCGUGGAACAGCAAUGGCAGUUUGAGAAGGAGAAGGGCAGCUCGGAGGUGUCAGUGUUGCAGUUGAACAGGGGAAACUAUGGAGCCAUGAGGGAGGAACUGGCCAAAGUUGACUGGACGGAUAGCCGAGCAGAAAAGACAGUGGAACAGCAAUGACAGGAAUGGGAUGGCAGAGAGGACGAAUCUGUUCCUGAAUCGCUGAGUGUGUGCCUUCAGGCUUCUGUACCUCCUCCCUGAUGGUGACAGUGAGUAAAGGGCAUGCCCUAGGUGCUGGACGUGCUUAAUAAUGGAUGCUGCCUUUCUGAGACACCGCUCCCUGAAGAUUUACAACUUCCUGCAGCUUCUCUCGGUCCUGUGCAGUAGCCCCUCCAUACCAGACAGUGACAGACCGAUGCAGACCACAAAUGAAGUGCCUCCUGAUCCUCAGCCAUUUCCAAUGCUGGCAAUGUUCACAGCUCAGCUACAGAAAACAGAGUUCGGAAAACUCCCCUCAUCUACUUUGCACAGCAAGGGGGGAGUUGAGAGCUGCCCUGACAAAACCUGAAAUGUUGUAUUAUCGCACAAUCUUUGAGAUCCAGGAAAUGCUCUUCUCACCUGCCUCUGAAUUUUGUAAAUGAAAGUUGAAGAUGUCUUUCACUUCUAAACGGCCCUGUUGUGCAACAAACCCUGAACCUAGAUAAUGUUGCAGGGGUGGAACUGGACUCUCUGACGGUGGUGUCUGAAAAGAGGAUGCGGUCCAAGUUGCAUGCCAUCUUGGAAAAUGCUCCCCUCCACUCCAUAAUGUACUGGUUAGGCACAGGAGUACAUUCGGCCAGAGAUUCAUUCCACCGAGAUGCAACACAGAGCAUCAUAGGAAGUCAUUCCUGCCUGUGGCCAUCAAACCUUACAACUCCUCCCUCGGAGUGUCAGACACCCUGAGCCAAUAGGCGGGUCCUGGACUUAUUUCCACUUGGCAUGAUUAAUUUAUUAUUAUUUAAUUAUUUAUGGUUUUAUAUUGCUAUAUUUCUACACUAUCCGUGGUUGUUACGGCUGUAAUGAAAUCCAAUUUCCCUCGGGAUCAAUAAAGUCUGUCUGUCUGUCUGUAGACUUUUCCAUAACAAACAACACCGCUGUCACAUUCCUGUUGGUGUUUCACUCUCGACCUGCUGAUUCAGGGUCUCCGGCUCCUUUCACUCAGGUGAAGCUUUGCCUGGUGAGUGGAGUCAUUCGACCAUUUCUGGUGUCAGGUCCCUGCGCUGGAACUGUGGGACCGAUCGAUUACACAAAGACACUUUACCAGUGGGAUCAGUGACACUGCUCGAUGAAACUUUUCUCUGCCCUGUUAGCGCCUGUGUAAGCUUCUUCAUCUGAACUAUUGUGCACCAACAGGGCAGAAGUUUAGUUAUAAAGAUCCAGGU